GACUUAGCAGAUGCAAAAGAGAACAUCUCUGUCUCCUAAGAUGUUUAUGAUGCUUGACUUGCAUUUCCUCAAAAAAGAAGAUACCUGAUAAUGCUGGCAAUAAAACUUCAAUUAAAAUAAUGUGUGUCAUCUCUCCAAUUAAUAUGCACAUCCUGACACAUCCAAAACACCAAAGAAUUAGAAGUGCUAAAGCAUUAACAUCAUUUCAAAUCAGGAGAUGGUUUAAUUCUGUACUUCUGAAGCAGCCCCUCAAAAAUCUUGGUUUUGAUGUGUUGGAUGACAGCUAUUGUGUUUACCAAAGAAGAACAUUGGUAUUGUAAGUAAAAUUUUCAUGCAUGUUCACAUAUUUUAAUAUAUUAUGGUGAAUGGAGGUUGUGGCUUGGUGUAUAUCCUUAAAAGACAUGACUCCAUUUCGUUAAACAAAACUUUUAUUCAUGCACACCAUAAUUUUAUACACAACUAUCAUAACAUAACGAAAUAACAUAACAGAAAACUACUAAACUAAAAUUUGUACAUCCUACACUCGAGCUAAGCGCAAAGUGGGUGAGUUCACCAUUGCGCUAGCAGUUUUUACAUAAACCACAUGAUGUGGACAUCAGACUGCCACAAUAUGCUGAAUUGUUAAAUUACAUCUAACAACCUUAACAUACAAACUACUAAUGGGUAGUCUAUAUUUUAGAGUACCCCUUUUAUUAUCCGCAAGAUGUUGUUUCAUUUAUUGCCGAGUUGUAGCUUCAAUUAUGGUAACCUGAGUAUCCUAUGAAGAAUGAUUUAGAAACCCUAUUAUGAUAGGAUUAGUUGUAAUGGGUGACUGCAGUGAUUUUGAUUGUUGGGAAAAUAUUUCUCAGGGCUUAUUUUUUGUUGUACACCAUAAAAAUGGCUGCCAGUGGUAAGAUUAACCUGGAGUUUCUGUACAAUUUGAAACGAAUGAGAAAGAAAACAUUGAUUGACUGGUAUGUAAAUGGAGAUUUAAAUGGCUUCAUUCAGCUCUCAGUAAAUUACACAGUAACAUUUAAGAAUUCGGAAACCGGAACUCCUAUGAACACUAUGGAAGAAUAAUGGGUGUAAUAAAAUGGGAUUUUUGAAAGAAAUGCCACCAAUAGUCCCGUAGAACCGAGGAUAUUUUUUGUCUUAACUUUUGUGAAUUUAUGUGAUGACGGCAGUAUACGGAUUCUAGUUCAGAUAAUUUUAAAUAGUUUUUGGAUGCUUUUAAGGAAUUCUAUGCACUACACAUCAAAGACACAAAAAUUUCUGUGUAAGGGAAAUUGAUAUUUCCUUUUUAUACUGCACAGAUUAGAAAACAUGUAUUUCCAUUUUUAUGUUAUUUCCUUGUUUUAUUUUCAAUUAAAAUGCGGUUUAUUGAGGUUAUAAUUUUUUUAUGUUUUAAUAAUGUUUUAUUUUAUUAGGUUUUUUAAUGCUAUUUUACUUGGGAGUGCGUUGCAUGUAAACAAGAAUGACGCCAAAAAAUCCCACAUUUUCGCCAAGGGGUACCCUAAAAUAUAUUUUCCCCUACUAUUAUGUUUGUGUCUUUCUAACAUAAAGAUGCUACUAUUAUGUUUGUGUCUUUUUAACAUAAAUAUGACAUGAGCAAUUAUUGGUCUCAUUUUUGUUCCUCUCAGAAAUGGUUUAGUGAAGUCAAAGAAUUUCAGUACCUGAUGUAGAAAGACAACCACAUGUAAAUUUUGUUCAUAUGAAUCCAGAAGCAUUUAGCCUUCUGGAAGUGGAACUAGGCAACCAGUCUGUAUGGGUUUACAGGAUUGCAGUUUUCGAAAACUGGGAAUGUUAACCUUAACCUGACAUCGAAACAUUCACUCUCUCGAGUAAAUAUGUCUGUUAUAUCAUUCCAUCUUGCAUGGCCUGCACAACGCUGAUGACAUAACUCAUAGCACGAGAAUGUAACAUGAGAACUGAAACUUUUCUAACCUUUGGAAACCAAAACCUUUCUCUUAACAGACUGCCAGAUUGGAUAAAUGCACAGUUAGCUUGCAGUUCUGUUGCUGCUUGGACUCUAUUUCAUUUCACCGUGCUUUGUUUUGCUGCUAACUACAGCAUUAUUUAAAAUGUGAUACUCUAUGUAAAAUUAUGGUGGGAAUAAUGUGUUCAUGAUCAUAAGUAAUGAAAAAUAUAGUUUUGAUAAUUAGAUUGUGUCUGGCAAUAAAGAUUAUGCUCAAUUUGCACACAUCUCUCUGUCUGUCCUUUGAGUAUCAUCUUUCUAAUUAUGCAGCAGUCUCUCUAAGUUAUUUGUGUAAUAAGCAAAAUCAAAAUUACAUGGUUCUUUACUUCAUCCAUGUGCUUUGUCCUUUAUAAUUUGCCAUAGAGAUAAUUUCACUUGCCUUUUUUGUACUUGUUUUGCAGGAAAUGCGUACAUAAUUUCAGAUUCUAAAUUCUCUUUUGGAGAGAAAUAAUGAAACAUUCAAAAUAGCUUCAAUCAAAUCACUGCUGAAGAAGCUGGUGCUUCAUUCCCAGAACCACCAGAAAAGCAUAUGAUAAUUUUAAGCUUGACACAAGGUUUCAGUUCAUUCGUAAAAUUUUAGAGAACGUAGACUCUAGAAUAUUCGCAUAACAAGAAUGUUUUCUUGUUAUGCAAUUAACAAACAAAAAAAGGGGAAAAAAAAAAAAAAAAAGAUUAUUAUUUACUUGCUUUUUAAAAAAAAUUUUACUUGAUAAACAUUACUUUGAAGCAUUAAGCCAUCAGCACUGAAAUAUUUCUGUUUAAUGUAGCACAUUUAUUUUAGUACUAUUUUAUAUUAAUUGGAAAACUAAAUUUUUUGUUUGUACUAUUUUUUUCUUCUAAACCUUUUAAAUUCCUUUGUCCUGUUUAAUUAAAAUUUUUACACAUGUAUGCAAAUUUAGAUCUGAUUUAACAUGCUUUUUUGUUGACUCUACCUAUUGAAUAACUUUGGAACAUUAUUAUAAUUAAAAACCCUAAAUUGAGACAUUCAUUUUUGUAAUAACAUAAUAGCAUGACAAUAAAAUAUACAUGUAUGCAAAUUUAGAUCUGAUUUAACAUGCUUUUUGUUGACUCUAUCUAUUGAAUAACUUUGGAACAUUAUUAUAAUUAAAAGCCCUAAAUUGAGACAUUCAUUUUUGUAAUAAGAUAAUAGCAUGACAAUAAAAUAUACAUGAUAGUAGUUCUUAAUCCCACUGAAGGAUGACAAUAAAUUGGAUGCUAAAUGUAUGUGUUAUGUGUUUUAAAUUGCUCACUAAAAGACAUUCCAAGCCUUUUCUUGGAACAAGAAAAUGAUUCAACAACAGCUAGCAGCUAGCCUUAAGAAUAUGAACUUCAUUGUGUAAUAAUAAUGAGCUUACUGCAGAUGUUUAUUUUUAAAAAAUAGUUUCACAAUAUGAACAGCGAAUUAUUUGAAAUUUCAUAUUGUAAAUUGUAUAUUGCUUCUUAUUGUAAUAGAUAGACAAUAUGAAGAUAUUGACAAAACAUUUUUGCCUUACAUAAAUCCUUGUUUUCUCAUUUGAUGUUUCAAAAGUAGUGAUAUCGUAUUGUUAUGCUAUCAUUCUUAAAUGAGAAAUUAUUUUCAGAAUAUUAAAAGAAUAAUUAGUUUUUCGACGACUGUAAUGCGUCUUUGGAACUGUCCUAUGUAAUAUUGACGAUGAAUAAAUUGUGUUUUGAUUCUUCA